GUUGGUGCCCAUAGAGAGGCGGGUACACCCGGCUCCAUUCCGAACCCGGAAGUUAAGCGCCUCAUCGCCGAUGAUACUGCAUAUUCAUGUGUGGGAAAGUAGGACGGUACCAACU
rnacentral:rRNA from 1 species